AUGCCGGUUGAAGAUGUUCUGAGUUUGAAGAUUUUCAGUAUACUGCUUUUUAAUGUGCAGAGGCUAUUUUGGCCCAGGUUUGGACAGCAAAUUUUAGAGUUAUUGUGCAGGUUUAGAACAAGGUUUGGGCAAGGCAUGGUUAAUAGAAAUUUCCGACUGUUGCAGUUUUGGGAACUUCAAUGUAAAGCUUGGAAUGAAUUAUAA